rnacentral:lncRNA from 1 species
GUGUAAAGCGGCUUAUGCAGCUUUUGUUUCAAUCCAUUACCUUCCUUUUUUAUUUUUGUCUCAUUUGACUUAUGACACUUGGGCUUAGUAAAAAUGUAAAUGGGCUCAUUUAUGCAAUGGUUUUUUCAUGGAUGUUAAAUUGGAUAAAAAUGGAUUUAAUGGAUUAUGAAGUGGACAUGGACUUUGAUACUUGGAUAAUGACAAAUUAAUUUGGAUAUUUGGAUUUAACAUGUGG